ensembl:snRNA U6 U6 spliceosomal RNA
GUGCUUUCUUUGGCAGCACAUAUACUGUAACUAGAACUACACAGAGAAGAUUAGCAUGGCCCCUGCUCAAGGAUGACACGAAAAUUUGUGAAAUGUUCCAUAAUUUU